GUAACGCGUGAGGAUCUGCCUAUAGGUUGGGGACAACAGAUGGAAACGUCUGCUAAUACCCAAUGUGCCGAGAGGUGAAAGCUUUAGUGCCUGUAGAUGAGCUCGCGUCCGAUUAGCUAGUUGGUAGGGUAAAGGCUUACCAAGGCGACGAUCGGUAGCUGGUCUGAGAGGAUGAUCAGCCACACUGGGACUGAGACACGGCCCAGACUCCUACGGGAGGCAGCAGUGGGGAAUUUUCUGCAAUGGGCGAAAGCCUGACGGAGCAAUACCGCGUGCGGGACGAAGGCUUUUGGGUCGUAAACCGCUUUUGUUAGGGAAGAAUACAAUGACGGUACCUAACGAAUCAGCAUCGGCUAACUCCGUGCCAGCAGCCGCGGUAAUACGGGGGAUGCAAGCGUUAUCCGGAAUUAUUGGGCGUAAAGCGUCCGCAGGUGGUUUAUCAAGUCUGCUGUCAAAUCGUAGGGCUUAACCCUAUAAAGGCAGUGGAAACUGAGAGACUAGAGUACGGUAGGGGUAGCGGGAAUUCCCAGUGUAGCGGUGAAAUGCGUAGAUAUUGGGAAGAACACCAGCGGCGAAGGCGCGCUACUGGGCCGAAACUGACACUCAUGGACGAAAGCUAGGGGAGCG
rnacentral:rRNA from 1 species